UUGCUAUUAUCACCCCAUUAGAAAAUUUGUGGAAGACAAAUUCAGAAGUCUAAAGCAUGGACUGGAACUAGCAGACAAGGGUGCAAGGAAUUUGGGUAAAAUUAAAAUUGAAUAUGAGGGAGGGAAAUUAGGGAUUUGUACUCUUGAGAAAUUAUGGCAGUUAAAGUGGAAAAAUAAAGAAAAUAAAAAUAGUGUCUGCCCUUUUAAAAGAAAGAGCCACAUUAAUGCUAAAUCAUUCCCUGGCAUUGAAAAUAGUAUCUAUUCCCUUAGCACACGCUACCUAAACACAACAAUCUCCCUUCCAUUCAUCUUCUCAGAGAAGCUCGGCUAGGGCAAAGAAACUUUUCUCAAAAGUCCUACAACAUGUCUCAACAUUCAUCAUCAUCUAGUUCAGAAUCUUCUCACCAUGGAAAAACUCCCUCAAUGGAGUUUGUAGAUGAA
rnacentral:lncRNA from 1 species